AUUGAACGCUGGCGGCAGGCCUAACACAUGCAAGUCGAGCGAGCGGCGGACGGGUGAGUAAUGUAUGGGGACUGCCCGAUAGAGGGGGAUAACUACUGGAAACGGUAGCUAAUACCGCAUACUAUCGGAUAACCCAUAUGGGAUUAGCUAGUAGGUGGGGUAAUGGCUCACCUAGGCGACGAUCUCUCGCUGGUCUGAGAGGAUGAUCAGCCACCCUGGAACUGAGACACGGCCCAGACUCCGACGGAGGCAGCAGUGGGGAAUAUUGCACAAUGGGCGCAAGCCUGAUGCAGCCAUGCCGCGUGUGUGAAGAAGGCCUUAGGGUUGUAAAGUACUUUCAGCGGGGAGGCGUUACUCGCAGAAGAAGCACCGGCUAACGCCGUGCCAGCAGCCGCGGUAAUUC
rnacentral:rRNA from 1 species